UACGUAGGGGGCAAGCGUUGUCCGGAUUUAUUGGGCGUAAAGAGCGUGUAGGCGGUUUGGUAGGUCCGCUGUGAAAACUCGAGGCUCAACCUCGAGACGCCGGUGGAAACCAUCAGACUAGAGUCCGGAAGAGGAGAGUGGAAUUCCUGGUGUAGCGGUGAAAUGCGCAGAUAUCAGGAAGAACACCCGUGGCUAAGGCGGCUCUCUAGUACGGUACUGACGCUGAGACGCGAAAGCGUGGGGAGCGAAAAGG
rnacentral:rRNA from 1 species